AGGAGGAAACACGGGAAAGCUGGCUGCAGGCUUUAAGAUGGCUUUCCAAAGUGUGAAAGCAAUGCCAAAAUGGAAGACAAAAGAUAGACUUCAUCAUCUGCAUAGAAUGAAACCUUGAAAAAACUGUAGGAAGAGGACAAUAUUGAGGAAUUAUGUACAGUACCUUGUCCAUGAUGUGUUUCUGAAGAUUCCAUGUUGUCACAAAUCGACCUAUGCUGCUGCUCAAAGGACUGUAAUAGAACUGGUGCUUCUGUAUCUUUGAUUUUUCCUGCCUGUUUGAAAACCACGAGAAAACAGCCAUUCUCUGUGAAAGAAGAUACAGAUGGAACUUCGUCAAAACACUUGUUGGAAACUGUUUGAGAGAGUCCUAAGUAGUUUUUAACAUGCUUUAUCGCGUGACAACAUCUCUGGGCUGUAGGCAGAACUGAAGCAGAUGGUUGUCCUGUCUCUCAGUGUGGUGUUAUCAGAAGGCACAUUGAGUACUUCUGUCAUAAAACCUGCCGUUGAAUUUGCUUGUGCUGGACUUGUACAGGUUGCUUGGGGGCCUAGUGAGGGUGUGGAUUUACAGUUUGUCAGGUAACCCCCAGUAACACCCACGGACACGGCUGUACCUGGUAGCGAGCAGAAGCCAGGUAUUCCUCAACGAAAACAGGGUCAACAGCCUGCACACAGGCAGUUUCCAGGGAGCAGUUAACAUGCUGUAAAUCCCCACCUACUCUUGCCUCACUCUAAUUUGUGUGCGUAGUCAUACCCCAAGCAAAGGUGAAUAAAUACACCCAUGAGCUGGGCAGAAAAAUCUCAUCCCACAAACACCGACACAACGGACAGCAGGGAGUGGGGUUAAAAGAGGUGGGCGUGCCAUCAGCGUUUUGCUUUCUUUGUCCCUUGCUGAAAUAAAUUGCUUUUGUGUUGUGACUAUUUUCACAGUUCAUGAGUUUCCCUUAUUUUUUCAGUUAGCAAUAGCUGUUACCAAAGUUCAUCUGUUUCUCUUUGCACUUUAAUUUACAGCCCUUGUACUAGUCAUUUUAUUGCUACAACCUCUGGGUGAGAGAACUUUUACAGCUUGUGAUUACUGAACUUGGAGAAACAAGAAAGUUUUUUGACCUGUUGUGGUGUAAUUAUAGACCCCAUUGCUUCUUGGGAGGGGCAUUCAAUGUUUAACAAACUGUGGCAAUUCUAAUUUAACUGUGUGGAGCCUGGACCAUUGGAUGCAAGUUAAAAAAAGUAAAUCCUGGAUUUUUUCCAGGUCAUAUUUGAACUUGUCUGGUUUUAGUCUCUCAAGGGCUGUCCUUGAAGUUCUGCCUUCCCACUACUGAACUUGACACUGCUCCUUUCUUAGCAGUAUGAAAGCAUGGGAGCCAAAUUAUUUGCAUAUGAAAACAAUUUCCUCUUGCUUCAGAAAUUACAGCUACACUACUUUUGAUUAAUCCUUUCAUGAGGUGAGUCUUUUGAAUGCCAUACCAUGCAAAUACAGCUCUUGACAACAGAAAAACUGUCCUGUCUUAAUUACCACUAUUGUUUCAUAUUAUAGGGGCUGUGGUCAUGGACAAAGAUUCAGUUGUGUUCAAUCGUAUAAAAACAGAGAAUAAAUAGACUCUGUGUUUGAAA